rnacentral:lncRNA from 1 species
AAAAGUUAAUAAAAAAAAUAUAAUAAGAUAAUUAGUGAAUAAUAAAUAAAUAAAUAAAUAAAUAAAUAAUAAUAGAAAUCUGGGUGUCUUUUUUGUCCUUUUAAGAAAAAAAAUGUACUAAAAAGCUUAUUAUUUUUUAUUCUAAUUGUGAUAAUUAAGCAAUAUGAUAGGAAAAAAAAGGUGAAAACAUUUUUAGAUAUUAAUUUUUUAAAAUAUGUUAAAAUAGAAAACGAUAAUUUCAAAGCUUUGGUUCGGGGAUAAGCAAAAAAUGGCUAUUUCAGGGAUAGGUAUAAAUUGAGGUAUAAGCGGUGAUUAGAUAAAUUUUGCGUUUAGAUGAAAAUUGAGUUAUUCCUGGGAAUAAAAAAAAUAAUGUUUGGUUAGAUAAGAUGAAAUAAAAAAGAUAGUGAGUUUUUAUAAAUAAAAAAUAAUCAUAUUAUCCUCUUAUUAUAUUUGAAUUUAAAUUUUUAAAUUUUUAGUUUUAAAUUUAAAAUUUUAACUUUGAAAUUUCAAAUUUUAAAAUUUCAAACUUUAAAUUUAAGAUCAAAUUUAAAUUUGAAAAAUAUAAAAUAUAAAAUUUUAAAUUUCAAAAUUAAAAUAUCAAAUUUUAAAUUUUAAAUUUACAAUUUAUAAUCUAUAAUUUAAAAUUAUAAACUUUAAUUUUGAGAUUAUAAAUUAUAAAUUUUAAAAAUUUAAAUUUAUAAUUUUAAAAUUUUAAAAAUAAGAAUAGGGGUGGGAGCAAUUAAUAAAAAUAAUUUAUUAUAAUAAAUUUAUAUUUUUUUAAAAAUUCUACUUAAACUUAAAUUUAAUAAAAAGAAUUUAUUAUAAUAUCUAGAUUUAAAUAAUAUGUAUUAAUAUAGUACAAUUAAUAAUUUUAUAAUAAACUAAUGUAUUAUAAUAUAUAACAUAUUAUAUUUAUAUAAUUUUGUUUUAAUUCAAUUUAUAAUUUUAAUUAAGUUUGAAAUGAAGCAUUGGAAUAGCACCAUUUCACCAAGAUGGAGGAAUAGUAAUUCUCUUGCUAUUCCAGGAUAACCGGAAAUAGCAAGGUUUGAUCGGGAUAAAAUAUUCCGGUCAAAUUUCACUCCGUUUAGCAGAAUAGUGGGGAUAACUUUCGUUAUCCCCGCUUAUCUCCCAAACCAAACGGAGUCUUAUAGAAUAACAUGUAAUACAAAUGAUUAAAAUGAGUCUGAUUGUCGAAAUAAAAGAAGUUCGGACAUCUAUUUACCGAAAUGCUAAAAUUUAAAAUAUUUUUACAAAUUUCUUUUUUAAAAGAAUUUAUAAAAAUUACUAUCAUGCUCUGUGGCUCAAAUCUCUUUUUUGUCCCCAUCCCCAACAUCCAAUUCUCCAAAACCCUGCACUUGCUCCUCACCUCACCAAAAGGGCAAAAUGUAUUCAACACUCACUUUUUCCCCUUUUUUUGUUUCAUUAUAUAUAAGAAUAUUACUGCUUCUAUGUAGAAUUACUAUAUUGUAAAUAAUGAUGUAAAAGAUUAGCUAAAUUACAAAAAAAAAUUUAUAUAAAUAUCCAUUUUUUCACUUUUUCUUCAUAACUUUCAAAUUUUAUAUUUUAUUCCUCAACAUUUCAAAUUGUUGCAUUUAUCCCCACUCCAUCAGGAUUUCAUCACUAUUCUGUCUAUUUUUUAUAAUUUAUACCGAAAAUGUCCUUCAAAAUAAUUAAUGUAUAGAAGAAGUAAGGAAAAUUUGGUUAUUUUGCACUCUCCAUUAAUGCCUAUUCUUUUUGAUAAUAUUUUUGAAAUUGUAAGGGGACAAAAUAUAGAUUUUUGAAAGUCAAAAAAAAAAAAGAAGAUAUUUAUAAAAAAAAAGCUUUCCAUAUUUUAGCCUAAAAAAAUUUGAUUGAUGUAUAUAAAUAGUCGGAAAUAUUGUAAAUGUGAAUUCGACAACAUAUCAGUUAACACUAUUAUAAAUUUAACAACAUACUACUCUUAUUAACUAUUAAAUUUUACCGUAUAUAUAUAAUGGAAAAAAUAGAUCUUUAAUUAAUUCAGAAGAAUUCGGUAACACAUAAAUUUACGGACACAUCUUUAUAAUUAUUGUUUUGAAUCAUUAUCCGAAAAUUCUUCAAGUCCAUCCUAAUCUGCAGUACCGACAAAGAUUGAAGAGUCAAAUCUCAUAAAUAUGCAAGUACAGAAUCCGAAUUCCUGCCAUAUGUAAGAAACUUUGCAAGACAAAAAUCACUGCACAUUAAUUUCACAGAGGAAAACAAUUUUUCAUUUUUUCCUACACAACUACAUUUUAAUGCUCAACAACAACAACAACAACAACAACAACAACACGAAUCUCUCUCUCUCUCUCUCUCUCUCUCUCUCUCUCUCUCUCCUCUGAUUGUUUUUAUGGUCUUUUCACAGCCACAAAUCUACCUGAGUGGUCAAACUGCAGUUGCUCAGAAUUUUAGGUCAGAUGAAGGGAUUGGUAGGUCCCUGGCCUGCUGUGCUUAAGUGGAUCAGCUCCAUAACCUUUUUCUUUUUUUUUUCUUUUUUUUUUUACAUUAUAUAGAUGGGUUGGUUUUGAUAAUGAUGGGCUUGGGUUGAGUUAUAUAGUUAACUAGGUUGGUUUGACUUGGGUGGGAAUGACACGAUAGGUUUAACACUCUUACGAGGCUUACCGACCAUUCCUAGCGCAAAUGGCAAAAGAAUUUAAUGAUUGGUAUUCGAAAUCCAAGUUCGAAUCUUAAUUGAUUCAUAUUUUCAGCUAAAUUUAUUUCUUGAUGAAAUAAAUGAAACGGAUAGCAUGCUAUAUUUCUCUCUCUCAAAAAAAAAACAACACUCUUACGAGACUUAGUUUUUGUUGGAACUUCGCUUUUGUUUUUAUCUCCAGUAAUAGUUAUAUUCAACAGGAUAUUUAUUAGAUAAAAAAGUUGACUACUUGUGUCAUAAUAAAACAAGGUACAUAUGAAGCUUUAAAACAAAAUUUUUAAUUUGGUAUAUGCUUUAAACUAUAUAUAUAUAUAUAUAUAUAUAUAUAUAUAUAUAUAUAUAUAUAUAUAUAUAUAUAUAUAUAGUCACUACAACAGAAUUAGGUUAUAGGGACACAUGUUUGGGACACUUUUGAGUGAGUGUCCAAUUUAUACUAAAACUUAAAAACACAUCUACUAAUGUCUAAAUAUAAAGCCCAAUACAACCAAAAAUAAAAGAUUACUCUACUCAACCCACCACACCCAGUCCAUUUGGCCCGAUUACAAACAGAAAAGUAAAAAAAAAAGAAAAAUCAAUUGCCAUCUUUUCUUCUCUCUUCACUCAAUCCACUGAAAUUCUAGACGAAGAGCAUUUACUGUCGUCCUCCUCCUCCACCGCAGCCAACGAGAUAGAGUUUCGACGGUUGUUAAAUGUUUAAAUAAGUGUUGGUAAAUUAGUAGCACUCUUUUAAGUUAUAGCGACACUCUUUAACUGUCACUAUAUACCUAACGACCCCACAUAUAGCAACACUUUUUAAAAGUGUCGGUAAUUUUAGCUAGCAGCACUUUUUUGACAUGUACCUACAUUUAAAAGUGUCGCUAUAGACCGUUUUUUUUGUAGUGAGUCCGGCUACUAUACUCUUAUGAGUACGAUCGUCCUCGUACUCAUAAGUUAUUUUCAAUGAUGGAGCUUUUGAAUCGACGAUCCAUACCGUUAAACAUUAUCUAAAGCAUUUAAAACUUAUAGAAAUCAAAUUUUAUAAUUUUUCGAUAUCAUUUAUCUUACGAUCAAAAGCUCACAAAAAUAAAAAUUUUUAAUGGCCGGUAUGGAAUACUUGCUAGUUUAACGGUAUAAAAAAAUCGGAAUAGGUUGAAUUUUUGAUAGAAAAUUCUAUUCACUACCUAGAUAAAGAUCAAUAACUCUGAUUUUAAAUUGAAAGAUCCGAUCAUCCAAUUUUAGGAUGUCGUUCGAUUUUGACCAUUCAUUUAUACCCGCUUGAUGGACUUUAUAAUGAUUUCAAAAAAUUACGAAAUUUAUUUUUUAAAAGUUUCAAAUACUUAGAUCAUGUUUAACAGUGUGGAUCGUCCAUUCGAAAACCGCAACAUCAAAAACAACUUAUGAGUAGGAAAGGCUAUAUAUAUAUAUAUAUAUAUAUAUAUAUAUAUAUAUAUAUAUAUAUAUAUAUAUAUAUAUAUAUAGUAGAGCUAUUAUGUUAUCGGAAGUAUUGAUUAUCUAGUACUUCCGACUUUUUGGCCCUUAUAUCAAUUCCUUUAAGCAUUUCUAACUUUUAGAUUAAUACUAUUACUCUGUGAGGACCGUUCAACUCUAUAGUUACUACUCAACCAUAUGAGGGACUGCAAUCAUCUCAACCCUACACUAUAUAUACUAAGACUCUAACAGUAACUAGCAUCAAAUAGGCGAAAAUGAUAUAAUAAAAAUUUCACUCACAUCUAUACUUAUACAUUAUUUUUCAUACAGUUCAUCACGUGACAAUUCCUUCUUCACCUCCCUUCCCAUUUUCUAAUUAAUAUAUUCACUGAUCUAUUUUCAUCUAAAUAAAUUGCUUUCACAAACAAAAUAUUAAAUAAGGUUUCUUCAUACUUUUUUUUUGCUUUUUUUUUUGUGCACAAGAAUGGUUCAUUUUUUGUAUUUCUUUAAUUUUUUUCUCCAUUUUUUAAAAUUGUGUGGAUAUUGAAAUUAGGAUUCCGAGAAUCGCGGCGGCACGGCAACAUGAAGUGGCGAUGGAUUUGGAGUCGAUGAAGGGAAAGAAGCGGUGGGUACGGAAGGAUCCGUAAGGCAUCGACGUGGCUAUGACUAAGGAGAAGCUCGAUGCCGACAAUGGCGGUGGAGGCAACAUGGAGAACGGUAAUGCCUCUCCGAUCUCGGCAACGCGAUCAAGAUGCGAAUUGAAUGGUAACUCUAUUACUACUUCUUUCAUUAUUAUUAUGUGUAAUUAUUUGCUUUUAUAAAUUUUUCUAUAUUUAUAAAUAUCUGUUUUAUAUUUUCUAUUUGUAUUUAUUGAUAUCUAAUUACAAAUCAAAAAAUUUUAAAACUUUAACUUUGUCAAUCUUUUAUCUUCUAAAGUAUUAGCCCGCCGCAAUGCAAAAGUAACUUCACUAGUGUAUAAUGAAUGUGAAAAGGAUGCAAAAAUGGUCCAACAUUAUAUUUAACACUUAUAAAUUUUCUUUGUAGUGGGGUUCUCAUCCAAUGGGUUGGAUUUGUUAAAUAUAAAAAUAUUUAACUUCACUAGUGUAUAAUGAAUAUGAAAAGGACACAAAAAUGGUCCAACAUUAUAUUUAACACUUAUAAAUUUUCUUUGUUGUGGGGUUCUCAUCCAAUGGGUUGGAUUUGUUAAAUAUAAAAAUAUUUAAACACCGUUCUCUGGCAGUUUAAGCUUUUAGAGUACAACGGUUGUUUCACAUGGUAUCGAGGAGGAGGUUCUGAGUUCGAGUCACGCAAAAAAAAUAAACAAAGUCUCGAGCCCACGUCAUGGGCCGACUAAAAAGUCCAUGUCAUGGGCCGACCGUUCUCUAGCAGUUUAAUUCAAGCCCACGUCAUGGGCCGACUAAAAAGUCUCGAGCCCAGACGUGAGGAAAAUUUAAAUAUCGUUCUCUAACAGUUUAAUCUUUUAGAGUACAACUGUUGUUUCACAGGAUUCAACUUGGUAGUUUUUUUUUUUUUUUAAUACCAAUUUCAAAGCCUUUUUUUUCAAGGCACUACACAAAAAAAAUAAACAAAGGGGAAUAAUUGAUUUGGUGAAGCAUGCUCUUUGUGAGAUAUCAAUUUAACUUGCCAUUUCCUAAAAUUUCGACGAGUUGUUGAUCAAUCUAAUACAAGUGGCAGAGCUUAAUUAGAGUUUAUUGUGCUUUAAUUACAUUGCUAUUAACAAAUAACUAUCAAGAAACUCAUGCUCCUUAAAUAUGUCUCAAGUGGGAUAUAAUACCAUCAUAUGUUUCCCAGUUUGGUUAAGUUACUUAGCUCCUUUUCUCUUUUAGUUGGAUUAGAUCUUAGUUACAAUUAGGUUGAAGAUUUGUGUAUAUCCUUGGGCAUGGGGAAAAAUGUUGUCCAUGAGAAACUUUAUAGUCCAAGAUGUUAUUCGAAUGCUUUUGGUUAUUAGAUAGAGGCUUGUAGGGAUUGUUUACAGAAUGCGAACUACUGUGAAACAACUGAUUACUCUAAAUAAACACUAUUUAAAUGUUAUCAUAAAUAGGGAUUUGGACUCAGGAACUUUUAACGACUAAAGCUUUCAAACUAAUGACCAAUGUUUCACUAUUCCUAAUUGAGUAUCCAUAGUUUGGUUCAACACAAGAACAUUUAUACCCGAAAGAAUAGAGUAUGAACAUUUGAUGGAUAGAAGAUCUAGAGAGCUUUAUGGUCAGAAGAAUGCUGCAAAUUAUUUUGAACCAGAACUCGAAGCUACGAUAAGGGGCUGAAAUCGUUUUAAUGAAAGUAAUUUUACUACAAAAUUUUAAAUAAACAUGUAGCACCUCAAACCCUCCCCCUAAAAAAUAAUUAAGUCUGAUAUCAUACGAGAUACCAUUGAUAUAAGUCAACGGAUAAUACUGAUGCGAAUCUAAUAAUAAAACUAAGUGCUAUCAAAAGCUCAUGCUAUCAAUAAUUCUUCAUCUUAUUAUUUAUUCAUUUUCUUUCUUUUUUUUUUUUGCGGUAAAUGAAUGUAAUAAUAAUAUCAUACUCUCGGGCUAAUGGAUUCUAAGUUGUUGACUCCCUCUAUUGAUUCAACCAUUUGGAGGUGUUAUCUGUUGGACAAUUAUAUUUUUUAUAAUAAUAAUAAUAUCAAUUCUUUUCCUUUCUCCCUUUUUUGACUGAAUAUAAUAAAAACAACUCAAACAUAUAUAAUAAUAAAAAAUAUAUACCAAGUAGGGCACUUACAGUUGAGAUGUCAUUGUAAUUAUGGGUCAUCUUCUAACUCUCUCUAACAUGGAAACUUCCAUUUAAAAACCGAAAAAUAAACAAAACAAAAAAAAAGACAUUUUAAACAAAGUAAAAGGGCUUGUGCAGAAGCCUUGUUAAUUAUGACAAUACAUGAACAUGGAAAGCCUUAAUUAAUUAGUUCUUAAUCUCUCGAAGCCAUUAUUAAUUGAAUAAAAUAAUUAAGCUUCCAUCUAGGGCAAAUGAGGUACAACCCUAGGUCAAAGGGGGGUCUCAAUGCAAAGUAAGUUCCAUAGAAAAGGACUCUUUUUUUUAGUAAACCCUAGUAGUUAGAUGUCCUAUUCACUCACACAUUUACAUUUUAUUAAAUCCAAAAGGAGGUUGAUUAAUUGCACCAUUUGUCCCCAACAUUUAUCUUUUGUUUCACGUUUGUUCCUACCCUUUUUUUUCUUUGGUUAUUCAAUCAUUAACUGAAUAUUUUGGAGCUAUUUGGUUCAAAAUUUAUAAUAUUCUAAAAAGAUUAUAUACUUUAUAUUAAGAAUAAUAAAUAUUUUACUAACUUAUUAAGUCAUUUAGGUCAUAGGUUGUUAAGAACUAGUAAUGAACUACUAAUAAGUUUAAUAAUACGAAGGAUCUUCAGAAUAUUAUAAAUCAUAAACCAAAUAAGCCCUUUGUUCCAAUUAGAUCCUGUCAUCCAUAUUCCUGUCAAUUUUGACGAAAAAAGCUAUGACAAUUUCAAGAGAAACCCUACAUAUUUAUAUAAAUUACAAUUAUGAUUUGAUAAUCUCCUGUCAAUCUCAGUGCUACCUUUUUUAUACUUCUAACAAAACUUGAUGGUAUGCCCAAGCGAUUCCAAGAGUACUAAAUGCUUCAAAAGAGACAGUAAACAUUAUGUGCAAGAUCAAGAUGGCCAUAGGCGCAGAGGACAACAUUGAGGGGUCAUUAAGAUUGGGCCUGACACGAUGGAUGCACAUAUAGGAAAAGAGGUUAGAGACUAAAAUGAAAACAUGAGUAAAGAUUAGGGACCAAUAAUAUGAUUACUUCUAAUAGUUAAUAAUUUGAUUGCAAAAAAAAAUGAAAAAAAAAACAGAAAAAUCAGGUGAACAGUUGGAACCAAUGGUGCAAUAACCAGAAAAAAAAAAAAAACAAAACAAAAGGAAAGACAUGUUUAGAGUGAUAAAUGGAAGCAAACCAUUAGAUUAGGACAUUAAUUAUUAAUCCCUAAUUAUUAAUUAUUUCCUCGAGCCACACACUUAAUUAGAAAAUUUAUUUGGUGCAUUACAGGUCAACUCCUCUAGACCAAUUUGCAUUCCCCCAGCUCAAUUCUAUACACCAAAUUGUUUUUUUGGCAACAUGGCGAGAGACACGAAGACGAAUUAGUCGGAGAUAUGUUCAAAAUAGAUCGAUCGAUCGAUCAAUGCGUUAACUUCUGCAUACUGCAAUUAAACACUCUUUGUUUAAUUUACAAAGGGUGUUAUAUCAAAUUAACUAUUUUUAGGGCUAAAUUUGACUCCUAUUUUGUGUUUUUAUCGCAAAUGAAAAGAACAGCGUUAUUGUUAUUAUUUUCCACUCAUUUCUUUAGCGAUGAAAAUCACCCCCCUGACUAAAACACAGUCAAUCGUAAGUUCAUUUAUUUUAUUUUUUGUCGAUAUUUGACCAAACAGAAAGGAUGUCGUUGAAUCGUAUCAUAGUAUAGAACAAGACACAUAGGGCUGGCAAAUGAGCGACCCGGCUCGCGUUCGACUCGAUAUUUCGCUCGCUCGAGCUCGACUCGAAAUUAAAUGAGCCGAGCGUGAACAAAAAAAAGGCCCGAAAUUCAUUUCAAGCCGAGCUUGAGUAUUACUCGGCUCGUUCGCAUUAGGUUCGAAAAGCUCGAAUAUAUAUAUAUAUAUAUAUAUAUAUAUAUAUAUAUAUAUAUAAAAUUGACUUCUAUGCUUUUAAAAGUACCAAGACAUUGGUACUUGUAGUUUUAGCCAUUGGAUCAACUCUUUUCAUUAUUUCUAACCAUUGGAUUAAAUACUAUAAUUCAGUAGGGACCACUCAACCUUUAGGGGACUACUCAACUCUAACUGACUAAUAUCAUCUUACAAUUUUUCAUCCAAGGGUUAAAAACUUGAUAGUAAAAAGAGUGUUUUACUAUUAAUAAUAUUCCAGCCUAAUUCAUAUAUAUAUAUAUAUAUAUAUAUAUAUAUAUUAGAGCUACUAUACUAUCGAAAGUAUAGAGGAUGCUUUCGAUUUUUUGAUUCUUAGAUCAACCCCUUUAAUCAUUUUUUAUUUUUGGAUUAAUACUAUUAUUACCUUAUAGGGACCACUCAAUCAUAGGGAUAUUAUUUAAUCCUAGAGGGGACCGCAAUCAUCCCAACCAUACAAUUCUUAAUCAAAUGGUCAAAAAUUCGAAAACAUCAAAUCCUCUAUAUUUUUGAUAGCAUAGUAGUUCUACUCUCUCUCUCUCUCUCUCUCUCUCUCUCUCUCUCUCUAUAUAUAUAUAUAUAUAUAUAUUAAAAAUAUAUAUAUAUAAUAUAUUUUAAUUAUAUAUAGGCCGAGUGAAUAAUCUCAGUUUAGUUUAAAUUAGGCCAAUGUUGUUGGUCUAUAAAAACAAAUCCAAUAGACAAAUAAAAGAGCAAAAUUUCACUAAAUUUAUACAUUUUUCUUUUCUUUCUUUCUUUCACAGAGCUCUAAAUUUUCAAUAUAUUUCUCUCUUUCUCUUUUUCUGUCUCUCACCCUAAGUGGCCAAGCCGGAAGCCAUCCAAGUUACCAACUAACAGCAUAUGCCCACCGUUGACUACCUUACUAUUAAUUGUAUGCUUGAGAAAAUAUACAGAAUAUUUUUAAAAUAAAAAAUUAUUAUUCAUAUCAUAUUUUAAUUUUAGUUAUAUAUGAUUGGAUAGUUUAAUCCAAUAUUUAUCUAUAUAAUUUAUUUAUUUUUGACUAAAUAAUAUGGAGAUUGAAGGCGGAAGAGAAGACGUGUGAGGCUGAAAAGAUUAGAUAUUUAACUCAUAAAUUAUUUUUCUUCAUAUUUUAAUAUUAUAUUUCAUAUAAUUAUUUUGUCUUUUGAACUAUUAGACAUAUUUUUGUAUCAAAUUAUAGAUAAUGUUCUAUACAAAUUAAACUAUUGAUCGUAUAAUGUUGAGAAUUUCAAGCGGCUCGUUUAGGACUCGAGCUCGCUCGACUCGAAAUUAGGCUCGCUCGAGCUCGGCUCGAAUUAAUUUCAAUCCAAGCUUGAGCUUAAAUUUAGGCUCGAAAUUAAUUUCAAGCCGAAUUUGAGCCGAGGUAAGCUCGCUCGAGCUCGGCUCGUUUCCACCCCUAAGAUACAUAACUCCAAAAGAAAAAAAAAAAAAAAGUACUCUGUGGUCCCCUUCUUCCACUUUGAUGCUUUCAAGACACAAAGCAACUUCGAAGAAAGAUGCGUUACGCGAGAAAAACGUAUUGGUUUUCUACGGAUAUUUUUCACGCCGUGUUAAACAAAUUCGUAUAUAUUAUGCCGACAUAAUUCAAAAUUGGCCCUCAUAUUUUCCCCAAUUAUAUGUAGCAUCAGUUGACGCGCCCACUGAUUUAUAUAACAGUGUAUUUUGUUUCCAUCAUCUGGAUAGUAACUAUCAACUUGGGCAUCCAUCAUUUUGCUUUCAUUCCAUCGCCGUCGAGUCCAAGUUUUGCUUUCAUUCCAUCGCCAUCGAGUCCAAGUCGAGCAGAGUUACGCCGUAAGACACGCAACAUUAGAUUAGAAAGGGAUGUGCUCUGUAUAGUGAACUCCUAGCAGUUGAUUUCGACAAUGUCGGGAAAUGCCUAAUGGGAUCGAAGGAAUAUCGCCUUCUUCAGAAGUUAAAAUGUCGUUUAUUUAAUAGCGCUGUCGACCAGUUGUAAUAACUGUUAACACUUGCAUAACUUUCCAUCCGAAUCUUCAAAAAUCAGUUGAGAUUGAAGUUGUAAUUUUCCAAACUCUACAAUGACUUAGUAGCGAAAAAUUCGUUCUUCGUAUAUGUAGCUGUUAAGGAACACCGUUUGGUUUAGAUCGAAUUACUGAAUCAAUUCGCAUAGCUAGCACUAGUGAGAACCGAAUAAACUGAAAUAGUGAAAUUAGGUAAAUAUAUAUUAGCCUUUGAUGACAAUCAAAUAGCGCAAUGCUUAACCGCCACUACUGUCGUGUAAAAAACAUUAACAAAUACGACUAAUCGUCUCAUACAUAUGAGUGUGAACUAAAUCAAAUUAUGUUACUACGGCAAAUUCUAUUUUAAAAAAAGUUCAAUCAAAUCGAACCAGCUGGGAAGAGAAGAUUGUAAAGAAGCAAUAUUAGAGGUUACAGAAAAACAAAAGUAAGAAUUUUUUUCCACACAAGUGUGUGAACAGUAAAAAGGGAUAAAAAAAUUAUGUGCACGAAAUCGUAGAUAAGCUAGGCUCCACAGAGCACCAUUGUCCUGAGUAAUCCCCACCGUUCAAUCUUCAAAAAUUCCGACGGCCCUGAUCUACCAAGCCGUCUUGUGGGUGGGGCCCACUUCGAUCUGGUGGCGUAAAUGGAAAAAAAAAAAAUCUAGAAUGCACCGGUUAUAUCAGUGUUAUAUUAGUGACGUGGUGUUUCCGACCAAAAAUUUAUCUGUUCUAUCAUAAUUAUAAAAGAUAUUUUCAUUAUAUAUAUUUUUAGAAAAAUAUAAUUAAUUUAUUUUUUAUGAUAUUUAGUGAAAGUAUGAUGCGCAAUCAUUGUCGCGCCCGAAACGGCUUCUUCGAAACGCAGUGAAAGCCGCACCUACAGCUGUUUUCCGGCUGAUAACGGCUCGAUAGUAACAGAAUCCCGAAUCCGUGCUUUCUGUGACUCCUGCCACGGCCACCCCAAAGUACCUCUUAUUGAAAGUUUGUGUCUUGGUCCACUUGUAGUACCAUAAUAUACUAGUUAAAAAAUCCGUGCUAUACGGACCGUCUCUAGAACAAGUGGCAAAGAGUUUGGUGGUUGAUACUGAGACCUAAGUUCGAAUCCUAAUUAAUUCACAUUUCUAGUUAAGUUUAUUUCUAAAUUAAAUAAACAAAACGGAUAGCGUGCUACCUAUCUCUCUCAAAAAAAAAAAAAAACAAAAACCCGUGCUAUACCCAUCGACAUCUCUACUUCUGAGAUCCUAAAUUCAUAAUUUUGUGUUUUAAUUAUAAUUACUAUAAAACGGUAAAAAUAUAUUUAUUUAUGUCUAAUUAUAAUUCAACCACAACCCAUCAAAAUUUCAAUUUUUAAUUUUAAUUUUAAUUUUAAUUUUUAAAUUUAUUUUGUAUUUUUUUUUCAAUAAACUCCAUAAUAAAUAAGAAGUGUUAGAAAGAAAAAAGAAAAGAGAGAGAGAGAGAUAGGAGAGGGUCCCCAACAGCGAAAAAGCAAAAAAAAAAAAAAAAAAAAAAGCCCGUGCAGGCUCGAGGUCGCGCCGGCUUCGCGCCCUGCGCGCCGGCCCGCCCGCCCACGCAACUCGCGCCACCCCCCACGCACCUGCGCCGCACCCCGCACCAGCGCCACCGGCCGCGCCUGAGCGCCCGCUGCCCGCUCGCGCCCGCCCCUCCGCGCCCGCGCUGCACGUGGCGGGCCAAAGAACUUCAAAUUCCAAUUCAUAAGUAUAUAAAUGUCAGUUUAAUAAUCUCAUAAUAUUACCGAUUUUUUUUUAGACAAAGAUUUGUUGGUUGAAUAUCUGAAAUUCUAAAUUCAAAUCAUAGUUGAUUCACAUUAAUUCACAUUUUCCAGCUAAAUUAUAUUUUUAAAAUAAAAUAAAUAAAGUGGGUACAUACUAAAAUUUCAAAUACCAUUAAGGUGUAUCAAGUUAGUAUCUUGUAAUUUUAUUUUUAUUUUUCGUCAGCUUUUUUGUUAAUACUUGUUAAAUAGUAUAUACAAAAAAACUUCAGAUAUUACAUCUAGGUUUAUCGAAUAUUUACUUUAAUACUUUUUAGUUUUAACUUUAUCACUGAUUUAAUAAAAAAAACUAGUAAAAUCGAUAAUAAAAAAAUAAAAAAUAAAAUUACAUGUCACUAAAUUAAUAUACUAAAAUGAGAAAGUAUGAAACCAUAGGUGCAGUAUUUAAAAUUUUUUUAAAAAAAUAAUUUUAUAAUUUUUUUGUUUAUAAGAAAAUAAAAAUAUUUAUAGUAACAUACAAUAUACUAUAUUUAGGUUUUUUGAGCGUGUAGAGAGCCUGCUAUCUAUUUUUUUUUAAAAAAAUAAAUAAAUAAAAAUAACGUAUCGUGAACCCAGAGAUCUGAUCCAUUGAGAAUGUACCACGUGGCGACGACACAGAUCUCCACGCGGAGGACCCUAUUAAAAAGCGAGGGGUCGCAAUGCCAAAACUAGCCCGGUCCCCGUAAUUACUCUCGUCUGGGGCGGAGUCCCCCGUAACGCUUUCCCACAUCCGCAUCCGCAGCAAUGAUAGCGGCUGUGGCGGCGGCGGCGGCGGCGGAGGCGGCGGAGCCCUGGCCGUCGAUCGAGUCCACGAGGCGUGCAUCGGACGGCGCCUCCGGAUCCCCGCUCCCGAACCGAGCGGGCUUGGUGGCGCGCGUCCCGCCACGUCGCGUCAGCCAGCCGCCGCUCGAUUUUUAAAUUAAAUAACCCCUCCCCUCCGGGAUAAGGAGCUGCAUGCAAUUUUGCGACCAGGCCCCUGCCGAAUGUACUAUUUUGUACCGCGCAUCUGCAAAACCUAUAUAUACUAGUGAAGGCCCGCGCUUCGCUGCGGAAGAUUUACGUAUUUUUUAAAAUAUUUUGAACAAAUUAAUAUAUUUCUAUAUUUAUAUUGUGACCAUUUAAUUUUAAAAUUUAAAUUUUUUAAUUUUCAAAUCUAAUCUUAAAUUUUAAACUUUAAAAAAUUAAAGUGCUAAAAAAAAAAAUUAUUUAAAUAAAGAGGAAUAAAAAAUAAUUUGAAAAUUGAAGAGAGCAGAGAGAGGGAAAAAAACAAAAAGAGCAUUGUCCGCGCCGCGCCGCACCGCACCCCGCCCCGCGCCACUUUCCUGCGUUUUUUUAUUCCAUAAAUUAAGAGAAAAUAAUUAAAGAAAGAGACAAAAAAAUACAAAAAAAAUUAGAAAAAAUGUUAAUUUUACAUUAAAAGCAAAUAAAUAGUAAUUUUGCUCUUAUUUUGGGCUUUCGUAAAAUAUUAUUAUUCAGGACCAAUCAAAUUUGAAGGGGACUAUUAUUAUCUGAUCUCAUAAUUUUUUAUCCAAGAAUUAAAAAGUUGAAAAUACCGACUGCCUUAUGCUUUCGAUAGCACAACAACUUUACACAGAAGUAUAUAGAUAGUAUUUCAUAGAUGCCACCGUAUAUAUUAGCAUACAUAAUAAUUAGCAGUUUAACAUAUACAUAAAAAUUUUGGCUAAUAUUUUAUCAAAUACAAAAAGAGAGAGAGAUGUAUAUAACUCGCACAAUUUGAGAUCGCAAUCAAAACUCUAAAAACAAUGACAAAAAAAACAUUUUGACAAUUUGUUUAAUUUCCUAACAAAAAACUCCAUUAAUUAUUGCGUUAAAACUCAGAAAGGUUUGAGACUUAAGUUACCGUUGUUUGGAAAAAAAAAGAAAAAAGAAAGAGAAAAUAGAUGAGAGUGAGAGGUGCUUCACCAACCUCUUGCAUGAACUGAACAGAGAUGCCCGAGCUGUAGCAUCCUUUGCUUGUGGAGAUCUCAUAUGCGGCCUCCUCUCCUCCUCUCACUUCCUCUAACCCAUUCUCAACUUUAUUUCCACUCUUUCUCUCUGGUUCUCACUCACUCAUACACACACACACACACUCUCUCUCUCUCUCUCUCUCUCUCUCUCUCUCUCUCUCAUCUUNAGUACCUAGAAAAUAAAUUUUGUGAUUUUUCGAUAUCAUUUGCCUAGUGAUCGAAGGGGCUCAAAAUUAAUAAUUUUAACGGCCGUGGUGAGCCGUUUGCAAGUUUAAUGAUGUAGAAAUAUUCAAAUCAUAUGAAAUUUUGAUAGAAAAUUCUUUAUACCAUAUAAAAUAAGAUCAAUAACUUUGAUCUAAAAUUUUAAUGUCAUAUCAUCAUAUUUUGUAAGAUUUUUAUUUUCAGUCGUUGAUUUUGAGCCAUUUCGAUCACUAGGCAAAUUAUAUCGAAAAAUCACAAAAUUUAUUUUCUAGAUACUUCAAAUACUCUAAAUCAAGUCUAACAGAGUCGAUUGUCGAUUCGAAAGUCCGAACAUCGAAAACAACUUGGAAGUACGGAGCGCUCCGUGCUUCCAGAAGCAUACCAGACACACUCAGAUAUAUGUACUUUCUGGAUAAAGUUAAAAAAUAGGAAAAUGGGCAAAUUUCUAGUCAACAGAGGUUUUUUUUUGCUUUUUUUUUUAAUUCUCUAUUACAUGCAUUAAGGAUUUGACUUAAAACGUUAUAAAAAGUCAAAGUUGUAGUCAACAGAGUUUUUUUUUUCUCCUUCCUCUCCUAUUACAUGCAUUAAGGAUUUGACUUAAUUGAGGUUCUAAUGGCUUAAUUAAGAUAAUAUUUGGGAUAAGAGUAUCUAGUGGAGCUAGAAUUUACCAUGUGAUGAGCCCCAUGUUAGCUACUUGGUUGCACAACUUUGCACAUUUUGUUCUCAAUCAUGGUCGAGUCGUCGCGAUUCACGAGCUUAGAGAUAGCAAUUUGGACAUUUAUUGUAAAGAUAGCAUAAAACGGUGUCAAAGUAUAAAAAGAAAAGUGAAAUUUUGGUUCGACGUGAUUAAUUUAAUACAGUUGUAAAUAGAAUAGCAACUGUCAAAGUACAAAAUACAAAUUGUAAUGCAUAGUUUCAAUAAUUUUCUUCUACCAAUUUGUUCUGUUCAGUAGAUCCCCACAUCGAGACCAUCAAAUUAAUCUAUCGUUCAUACUGUUUUGAGAAUUUUCAUGUUUACAGGCCUAUUCGUGCCUCUCCAGCUCGCCGCAUCACGAAUACUUUACCCCAAUCCUAACACACUAGAAAAACUUGGCUUCAUUAUAAUAAGAUGUCGAAUAGUUAGCAAAUCCCUUUUUAUUAAUUUACAAAUAUCAAAGUUCGCAAUAGUUGCCAAUGUACUUAAAAUAGCGUAUAACUCACUCCCCGACAAAACAAUAGUUAAAAUUUUCCCUAUCAUACCCCAAUACUUAACUAUGUUUACAGAUCAAUGAGUGAUGGGAAACGACAUACCACAUUGGACAUCAUCACAUGCAUCAUGCAUGCAUGUAUGGUGUUGUCAACAUGCAUGCACUAUUCCAUGACUUCGCGCUCCAAGGGGCGCGUAUUAAUUGAUUGUGUACGAGUACAACUUCACCCUCUUCUCUCUCUCUCUGAAUGUAUCUCUGCGUCUACUAUACCUUUCAAAUCA